CUACGGGAGGCAGCAGUGGGGAAUCUUGCGCAAUGCGCGAAAGCGUGACGCAGCAACGCCGCGUGAGGGAAGACGGCCUUCGGGUUGUAAACCUCUUUCAGUUGGGACGAAGCCUCUGCGGUUAAUACCCGCACGGGGUGACGGUACCUUCACAAGAAGCUCCGGCUAACUACGUGCCAGCAGCCGCGGUAAUACGUAGGGGGCAAGCGUUGUCCGGAAUUAUUGGGCGUAAAGAGUGUGUAGGCGGCUUGGUAAGUCUGCUCUGAAAGCCAGGGGCUCAACCCCUGGAGGCGGGUGGAUACUGUCAAGCUUGAGUCCGGAAGAGGCGAGUGGAAUUCCCGGUGUAGCGGUGAAAUGCGCAGAUAUCGGGAGGAACACCAAUGGCGAAGGCAGCUCGCUGGGACGUGACUGACGCUGAGACACGAAAGCGUGGGGAGCAAACAGGAUUAGAAACCCUAGUAGUCC
rnacentral:rRNA from 1 species